rnacentral:rRNA from 1 species
UCCAGACUCCUACGGGAGGCAGCAGUGAGGAAUAUUGGUCAAUGGGCGGAAGCCUGAACCAGCCAAGUCGCGUGAGGGAAUAAGGCCCUACGGGUCGUAAACCUCUUUUGCCGGGGAGCAAGGGCGGGGACGUGUCCCGGCCCGGAGAGUACCCGGAGAAAAAGCAUCGGCUAACUCCGUGCCAGCAGCCGCGGUAAUACGUAGGGAGCGAGCGUUGUCCGGAAUUACUGGGUGUAAAGGGAGCGUAGGCGGGACGGCAAGUCAGAUGUGAAAACUGAGGGCUCAACUUUCAGACUGCAUUUGAAACUGCUGUUCUUGAGUGAAGUAGAGGUAAGCGGAAUUCCUAGUGUAGCGGUGAAAUGCGUAGAUAUUAGGAAGAACACCGGUGGCGAAGGCGGCUUGCUGGACUGUAACUGACGCUGAGUCACGAAAGCGUGGGGAGCGAACAGGAUUAGAUACCCGGGUAG